AUGGGGCUCUUCUCGUGGUGGAGGGGCUCCCGCCGCGGCUCGCCGGAGCAGGCCCCGAGCCAGCAGGCCGCGAAGGGAGCGGGAGGCGCGCAGGCCCAGGUGGCCGUCCCCGGCACCCAUGGGGCGGUGGAGGUGCUGCGGCAGCGGCAGCCGGACGCGACGGUCUUCGAGUUCGGGUCGGCGGCGGAGUCGGGCACCGCCGUCACGCUCGCCGGCUACUGCCCCGUCUCCGACGAGCUCGAGCCGUGCCGCUGGGAGCUGGUGCCCGCCACCGGCGAGGGCGCCCCGCAGUUCCGCAUCGUGUUCUGA
rnacentral:rRNA from 1 species